CGCCAGACUCCUACGGGAGGCAGCAGUGGGGAAUAUUGCACAAUGGGGGAAACCCUGAUGCAGCGACGCCGCGUGAGUGAAGAAGUAUUUCGGUAUGUAAAGCUCUAUCAGCAGGGAAGAAAAUGACGGUACCUGACUAAGAAGCCCCGGCUAACUACGUGCCAGCAGCCGCGGUAAUACGUAGGGGGCAAGCGUUAUCCGGAUUUACUGGGUGUAAAGGGAGCGUAGACGGCAUGGCAAGUCAGAUGUGAAAGCCCGGGGCUCAACCCCGGGACUGCAUUUGAAACUGUCAGGCUGGAGUGCAGGAGAGGUAAGUGGAAUUCCUAGUGUAGCGGUGGAAUGCGUAGAUAUUAGGAGGAACACCAGAGGCGAAGGCGAUUAACUGGACCGUAACUGACGCUGAGGCACGAAAGUGUGGGUAGCAAACAGGAUUAGAUACCCGAGUA
rnacentral:rRNA from 1 species